rfam:Thaumarchaeota archaeon N4, WGS project CBTY01000000 data, contig: APF_1883_Contig_6
GUAGCAGGUAGGAUCGGGGCGCUAGCCGUGCCCCAUUCUGAAACCGGCUCUAUGCAGAGGUCAGUAACUGCUGGAUAAAUCUCUAGGUGGAUAAUUCCCGCUUGAUGCGCUGAAAUGAAAUCACGCCGAAGCGGGUGGAUGCAGGCCUGAGAUUGUCCGAAGGGACAACGCCCAAGGUCGAAUUGCCGAAAUGGAUGAGGUCCGGGAGGGAGCAAUCCUAAGGCAAAGUACCCACGCUUCUUCGUCAACGUGGCGGAUCUUGCGUGUCUUGAGAUGGGGUUACCUAUCUAGACUGGAACCAGCAGGGCUGCUAC